AGGACCUCCAGUAUAAUGCUGAAUAGAAGUGGUAAGAGAAGACAUCCUUGUCUGGUGCGCAUCUUAGCAGGAAGCAUUCAUUUUUUCACUGUUGGCCAACACCUAAGCAGCUCCCUAUUUGCGUGUAACUGCUUCCUCCAGCCACAUGGUAAUGCCUUGUUUAUGACCUGGUAGUCUAAAGAGCAAGGUGUUUUAGAGUAAGACAUAUGUGGAAGCUACCUCAGAUGUUAUCAGAUUCUUCUGUCCUUCCUUCGACCCUUUCAAAAAGCACAUGAGGAAACUGAGGUCCAUAAAAGCCAUUGGAAUGGCAAAGGGAGAGAGAAGGUGGAAUCCGCUUUUAUUCAAUUCUGCAUUAAAUAAUGUCCUUAAUUACUAAAGUGAAGUUCUGCUAUGUCUGAUGGGGAAGAGGCAUCUUGGCCAUCAUACAGACACAGGAAGGACCUGGAAUCUUGAUUAUUGCCCACAAGGGAGGAUACUCUCUUCUAUUUGCAGUGUGGUAAGUGUUUUAUCAUAAAAGGGUGUUGGCUUUUGUAAAAUGAUUUUUCUACAUCUACUUGGAUGGUCAUGUCAUGUUUAUCUUUUAUUCUAAUAAUAUGAUGUAUCAUAAUGAUUGGUGUUUGGGUGUUAUCCAACAUUUUAUUUCUUGGAUAAAUCCCACUGAAUUAUUGUAGGUAAUCCUUUUUAUUAACAUAUGUUGCUGGAUUUGGUUGCCUAGUAUUGUGAGGAUUUAGGUAUCUGUAUUUAAAAGGGAUAUUGGUCUAUACUGGUCUUUUAUUUUCAAGUGAAAUCUUUUUAUAGUUUUAGUAUCUGAAUAAUUCUGACCUUAUAGAAUUAGUAGAUAAAUGCUCUCACCUCUUCUUUUUUUUGUAAGCAUUUGUGAAAGAUUGAUGAUAAUUCUUUUUGAAUGUUUGGUAUAAUUUACUAGUGAAGCCAUCUGGGACAGUAUUUGUGUGUAUGUGUAAAGUUUUUUAAUCGCUAAUAUAACCUCCUUAUUUGUAA
rnacentral:lncRNA from 10 species